GAAAUGCGAUAAGUAAUGUGAAUUGCAGAAUUCAGUGAAUCAUCGAGUCUUUGAACGCACAUUGCGCCCGCCAGUAUUCUGGCGGGCAUGCCUGUCCGAGCGUCAUUUCAACCAUCAAGCCCCCGGGCUUGUGUUGGGGACCUGCGGCUGCCCGCAGGCCCUGAAAACCAGUGGCGGGCUCGCUGUCACACCGAGCGUAGUAGCAAUCACCUCGCUCAGGGCGUGCUGCGGGUUCCGGCCGUUAAACAGCCUUACAAAACCCAAGGUUGACCUCGGAUCAGGUAGGAAGACCCGCUGAACUUAAGC
rnacentral:misc_RNA from 1 species